UUUAUGGAGAGUUUGAUCCUGGCUCAGGAUGAACGCUGGCGGCGUGCCUAAUACAUGCAAGUCGAGCGAACGGACGAGAAGCUUGCUUCUCUGAUGUUAGCGGCGGACGGGUGAGUAACACGUGGAUAACCUACCUAUAAGACUGGGAUAACUUCGGGAAACCGGAGCUAAUACCGGAUAAUAUUUUGAACCGCAUGGUUCAAAAGUGAAAGACGGUCUUGCUGUCACUUAUAGAUGGAUCCGCGCUGCAUUAGCUAGUUGGUAAGGUAACGGCUUACCAAGGCAACGAUGCAUAGCCGACCUGAGAGGGUGAUCGGCCACACUGGAACUGAGACACGGUCCAGACUCCUACGGGAGGCAGCAGUAGGGAAUCUUCCGCAAUGGGCGAAAGCCUGACGGAGCAACGCCGCGUGAGUGAUGAAGGUCUUCGGAUCGUAAAACUCUGUUAUUAGGGAAGAACAUAUGUGUAAGUAACUGUGCACAUCUUGACGGUACCUAAUCAGAAAGCCACGGCUAACUACGUGCCAGCAGCCGCGGUAAUACGUAGGUGGCAAGCGUUAUCCGGAAUUAUUGGGCGUAAAGCGCGCGUAGGCGGUUUUUUAAGUCUGAUGUGAAAGCCCACGGCUCAACCGUGGAGGGUCAUUGGAAACUGGAAAACUUGAGUGCAGAAGAGGAAAGUGGAAUUCCAUGUGUAGCGGUGAAAUGCGCAGAGAUAUGGAGGAACACCAGUGGCGAAGGCGACUUUCUGGUCUGUAACUGACGCUGAUGUGCGAAAGCGUGGGGAUCAAACAGGAUUAGAUACCCUGGUAGUCCACGCCGUAAACGAUGAGUGCUAAGUGUUAGGGGGUUUCCGCCCCUUAGUGCUGCAGCUAACGCAUUAAGCACUCCGCCUGGGGAGUACGACCGCAAGGUUGAAACUCAAAGGAAUUGACGGGGACCCGCACAAGCGGUGGAGCAUGUGGUUUAAUUCGAAGCAACGCGAAGAACCUUACCAAAUCUUGACAUCCUUUGACAACUCUAGAGAUAGAGC
rnacentral:rRNA from 2 species